GGAGUCUGGACCGUUUCUCAGUUCCAAUGUGGCCGUUCGACCUCUCAGUCCGGCUACCCAUCGUAGAUUUGGUGGGCCGUUACCUCACCAACUGUCUAAUGGGACGCGAGCUCAUCUUCGAGCGAUAAAUCUUUGGUAUAUCUGUCAUGCGGCAAAUAUACGUCAUGCGGUAUUAGCAGCCGUUUCCGUCUGUUAUUCCACACUCGAAGGCAGAUUGCUCACGCGUUACUCACCCGUCCGCCACUAACUCGAGGACCGAAGUCCUUUUGUCCGUACGACUUGAAUGUGUUAAGCACGCCGCCAGCGUUCAUC
rnacentral:rRNA from 1 species